rnacentral:lncRNA from 1 species
UGUAUGGCUGCAAAAAGGAUCAAAUUUCAUCCUGGUUUCAUUUUUUGCAAUUAUUAUUUUUGCAGAUUUUUUUUUAUUCCCGGUCUGGACAAUAAUUGUACAUAAUUUCAUCUUCAUACAAUAUAUAAUUUUUCGUAUAAAAUCUGCUAAAGUAGCGCACUAUUCUCCCUUAUGACCAGGCCGGAUUCAGUUAGUGCGGUCUCCAUUGAACAUAUCUCGCGGGGACUCUCAGAAUAUAGCUUAUAUGUAUAAAUAAAAUAAGUAAUAUUUAUGAAGAAAUUUGCAUUUUUUAAUUAAACCUUUUGACUCCUAUGGACUUAUAAAGUCAUUCAGCCAAUGGUAUCAGUAUGGACGCUUAUAUGGGUUAGCAAUUUUUGCUCAAACACACAAGAAUCAACAUUAGCAUCGUGUUUGAGAUAGUCACAUAGAUCUAUUUUGCUUAUUAAUAGCAAUAAAUAGAAAAAUUUCUUUCUCCAUAAUCCAAGAGAUAUAAAAUAAAGUCGAUUUGUUCGCAUUCAAUUUUUCCAAGAAGUUUUUUUUAUGGAUCCACAAAAAAUAAGUGUUCGAAGACUGAAUAACAAAUCUAACCAUUAUUCUUCGUUUAUUAGCCUUUUCAUGAUUUCAUUUUGCUUCAAGCACGGAGCCCCUUCAAGCGCGUGGUCCGAUUGGGUGCAAUCUGCCCAAUUUGCUCAUAUCCGGCUCUGCUUACGACAUAGUGAUAUAGCACAUUUAACAAUACGUAAUUUUUGAAAGAAUUUUAUUAUAAAAUCUUUAUAAACAGAAUGUUUUUUCCCCCCUUAUAUAUCUGUCAAAUUACGAUAAACAAAAUAUAAUUAAAUUGAAAGAUUUAAUAUUUUAUGAAUUCUCUGAGAGACAGGAAUUCGGAAAUAUUUAUUAAAUUCUAUUUCUUGCCGUGAGAAUCCUUAAUAUAUUAAAGUGGUUUGGUAGAUCGCUUUUCAAAAAAUGGGAGACAAUACUGGCGUUAUUUAAAAAUUCUUUAAUAUGUCUUUCAUUUAAUUACACGAAAAAUAUAUUUCGAUAGAACUGCUUCAGUUGACUGAGAUAAUGGAAAUUAAGUUACAUAAGGCUAAUGGGAAGCUCGAAGCAAAGAUAAGAUCGAGUUUACGAGAGGAAGUUGUACAUGAGAUUUGAAUGAUAAUGGAAUAGUUGUGAGAUCAUGUUUUGGAUUCUAAUUUUGGGUAAAAGACAAGACUCCCUCCGUAAAUUUGAUCGUAAUUUCUGAUUCAAAUUCUUGCUCAUCUUAUGUAAGGCAAACGAUUACUUCGAUAAACUGACCAAACCGUAUUGAAAAAAAUGUAUUUCAUGUAAUUAAUGAAGGCAUUAUUAAAGAAUUUUUAAUCAAUUCAAUUUAUUGUUUUCUCUUUUCUGUCUCUCUGUUGAAAAAAUGCUCAUUAAACUUUCUAAUAUAUUAGAGACUUUCACCAACUACGUAUCACCAUCAUUCAUAAAUUUUAAUCCAAUUUCUACUAAUAUUUCAUUGAUAAAUCUUUU